rnacentral:ncRNA from 1 species
UUUUGCCAGGGGAGCUUAUUGCUGAGACGGAGUGAUCCGGACCCUCAGAACCUGAGACGGGUAAUACCGGCGUAGGAAGGCAG